rnacentral:tRNA from 1 species
UGCCCCAUGGCUCAGUUGGCUAGAGCGUGUGACUGUUAAUCACAAGGUCGAGAGUUCGAGCCUCUCUGGGGCAG